GAAGCUAGGGUAGGACCACCACCACCACCUGUCUGCUACAGGGACCAUCUCCAUAAUUAAGGCAGCAGCAGCAGCAACGAGCUAGCUAGCGAGAUUGUUAUUCACAAAGACAUGGCUUGCGUGGUGGAGAGCAUCCAGUGGAUCCCCAGCAAAGGAAAUCCUGGCUCGAAAAGAACGGUGAGCGACCGGAAAAUGAAUAAAAACAA